rnacentral:rRNA from 1 species
AUUGAACGCUAGCGGGAGGCUUUACACAUGCAAGUCGAACGAGUGGCGGCCGGGUGAGUAAUAUAUCGGAACGUGCCCAGUAGCGGGGGAUAACUACUCGAAAGAGUGGCUAAUACCGCAUACCCUCGGAUCGGCCGAUCUCGGAUUAGCUAGUUGGUGGGGUAAAGGCUCAACAAGGCAACGAUCCGUAGCGUGUUUGAGAGGACGACCAGCCACACGGGGACUGAGACACGGCCCAGACUCCUACGGGAGGCAGCAGUGGGGAAUUUUGGACAAUGGGGGAAACCCGGAUCCAGCCAUCCCGCGUGUAUGAGAAGGCCUUCGGGUUGUAAAGUACUUUUGGCGGAGAAGCGGUAUCUGCAGAAUAAGCACCGGCUAACUACGUGCCAGCAGCCGCGGUAAUUC